AAAAUGAUUCUGUGCUCAGUGAGGAAGUGCUUUCAAGACCAUCUGGCGCCGAGUGGUGGAGUGGUGCUGUCGUAGAAGCUGCGAUGGUGUGUUAAUUCUCUCUCCCUCUUUCUACCCUGGUGAAACUGAGAUCCUUGAGGGUAGGACCUAUGUCUGCCUUAUGUAUCCUGAACCUACCCGAGAUGAGAGAGACGGAGGAACGCCACAUCACUCAAGAAAUGAGUUCAGCUGGUCUCCCAGAGCAGAAGUGGAAAAGGCUAUGUGGUGGGGCAGAAGGGAGUGAGUUCACCACGGGAGACAAGACUCGGAGUUCAAGUCUCUGGUUGGCUCAUGAGCUGGAUUAGGGGAUUAUGCACUCUUAACUUCGUAAUUGCAUGGGUGAAGGUCACGAAUCCUGGCACAGUUCUCAAUGGGGUCUGAGACAGAUUGCAUCAAGUCCCUGAUGGGUGCAGAGUCGCAUGGCAGGAUGCAGCCCCUGGAGCUGACCGUGUGCUGCCACAGCCAAGGUCGUGGUUCAUCGCAGCAACACGUGCCGUCGUUUUGCAGAUGAGGAAACAGGACUCAGCCAGCUGAAGAAAUUUGCCUAUUGUCACUCAGGAAUGGUAGAGCCAGAAAUUGGCUUCCAAAUUUCAAGACCCAUGCUGCCCUUUCUACUAGACUGUCUUUAAACAAUCGCCGUGA
rnacentral:lncRNA from 1 species